UCUGAAUCUCUGCUUUGCAGGGAAAUGAUGAUAUUUACAUCUGUACCAGGAACUCAUCAGGUAUUAUCACAGUUCAGCAAGCGUUCUCCACAGGACGUGUGAGUCCCACACUCAGGAACACGAGCUCAGUGGAGUCAGCUGAGGCCUCUUAUGUGGAUGGGGUGUUGAAAUGUUUGUUCAUCACACAGAGCAGCAUCUCCACUCAGGCGAGAGCUAGCACCGCCUCCAGCUACUAUAUAUUCCUAGCCAAUGGCCCGUCCCAGGCAAAUGGUCAGAUUCUUGAGCACACACAGAUACCCCUAAUAACUGAAAACAAGGUUGAUCUGUCAAGUUUUGCAUCAUCCAGUGCCCAGACUGGGACCAGUCCUGUCAUACUUGUUCAUGGUAAGUGCAGAUACUUACAGACACCCCAAACAAUUCUGCAGGAUCAAUUUGCAGAGCUCCCAGCAGUGCUGAAAUUUGUAACAUAUCACAAUAUCCAAGGUGCAAUAACUCCAGCCUUAAACCUUUACUGCCAAAACGUCCCCAUCAUCAAUAUGAAACCCUCAGCCCCAUCACUCCAGGUUCCCCUAACACCAGCUAGAAUCACUGAGCGCUAACACUUCCCAUUAUCCCAGGUUCCUAUAACACCAGCUAAAAUCACUGAGCGCUAACACUUCCCAUUAUCCCAGGUUCCCCUAACACCAGCUAGAAUCACUGAGCGCUAACACUUCCCAUUAUCCCAGGUUCCACUAACACCAGCUAGAAUCACUGAGCGCUAAUACUUUCCAUUAUCCCAGGUUCCUAUAACACCAGCUAGAAUCACUGAGCGCUAACACUUCCCAUUAUCCCAGGUUCCACUAACACCAGCUAGAAUCACUGGGCGCAAACACUUCCCAUUAUCCCAGGUUCCCCUAACACCAGCUAGAAUCACUGAGCGCUAACACUUCCCAUUAUCCCAGGUUCCCCUAACACCAGCUAGAAUCACUGAGCGCUAACACUUCCCAUUAUCCCAGGUUCCCCUAACACCAGCUAGAAUCACUGAGCGCUAACACUUCCCAUCAUCCCAGGUUCCCCUAACACCAGCUAGAAUCACUGAGCGCUAACACUUCCCAUUAUCCCAGGUUCCCCUAACACCAGCCAGAAUCACUGAGCGCUAACAUUUCCCAUUAUCCCAGGUUCCCCUAACACCAGCUAGAAUCACUGGGCGCUAACACUUCCCAUUAUCCCAGGUUCCCCUAACACCAGCUAGAAUCACUGAGCGCUAACACUUCCCAUUAUCCCAGGUUCCUAUAACACCAGCUAGAAUCACUGAGCCCUAACACUUCCCAUUAUCCCAGGUUCCUCUAACACCAGCUAGAAUCACUGAGCGCUAACACUUCCCUUUAUCCCAGGUUCCCCUAACACCAGCUAGAAUUACUGGGCGCUAACACUUCCCAUUAUCCUAGGUUCCCCUAACACCAGCUAGAAUCACUGAGCGCUAACACUUCCCAUUAUCCCAGGUUCCCCUAACACCAGCUAGAAUCACUGGGCGCUAACAAUUCCCAUUAUCCCAGGUUCCCCUAACACCAGCUAGAAUCACUGAGCGCUAACACUUCCCAUUAUCCCAGGUUCCGUUAACACCAGCUAGAAUCACUAAGCGCUAACACUUCCCAUUAUCCCAGGUUCCCCUAACACAAGCUAGAGAUACUGAGCGCUAACACUUCCCAUUAUCCCAGGUUCCCCUAACACCAGCUAGAAUCACUGAGCGCUAACACUUCCCAUUAUCCCAGGUUCCGUUAACACCAGCUAGAAUCACUGAGCGCUAACACUUCCCAUUAUCCCAGGUUCCUAUAACACCAGCUAGAAUCACUGAGCGCUAACACUUCCCAUUAUCCCAGGUUCCCCUAACACCAGCUAGAAUCACUGAGCGCUAACACUUCCCAUUAUCCCAGGUUCCCCUAACACCAGCUAGAAUCACUGGGCACUAACAAUUCCCAUUAUCCCAGGUUCCCCUAACACCAGCUAGAAUCACUGGGCGCUAACACUUCCCAUUAUCCCAGGUUCCCCUAACACCAGCUAGAAUCACUGGGCGCUAACAAUUCCCAUUAUCCCAGGUUCCCCUAACACCAGCUAGAAUCACUGAGCGCUAACACUUCCCAUUAUCCCAGGUUCCUCUAACACCAGCUAGAAUCACUGAGCGCUAACACUUCCCAUUAUCCCAGGUUCCUAUAACACCAGCUAGAAUCACUGGGCGCUAACACUUCCCAUUAUCCCAGGUUCCCCUAACACCAGCUAGAAUCACUGAGCGCUAACACUUCCCAUUAUCCCAGGUUCCCCUAACACCAGCUAGAAUCACUGAGCGCUAACACUUCCCAUUAUCCCAGGUUCCCCUAACACCAGCUAGAAUCACUGAGCGCUAACACUUCCCAUUAUCCCAGGUUCCUAUAACACCAGCUAGAAUCACUGGGCGCUAACACUUCCCAUUAUCCCAGGUUCCUAUAACACCAGCUAGAAUCACUGGGCGCUAACACUUCCCAUUAUCCCAGGUUCCCCUAACACCAGCUAGAAUCACUGAGCGCUAACACUUCCCAUUAUCCCAGGUUCCGUUAACCCCAGCUAGAAUCACUAAGCGCUAACACUUCCCAUUAUCCCAGGUUCCCCUAACACAAGCUAGAGAUACUGAGCGCUAACACUUCCCAUUAUCCCAGGUUCCUAUAACACCAGCUAGAAUCACUGAGCGCUAAUACUUCCCAUUAUCCCAGGUUCCCCUAACACCAGCUAGAAUCACUGAGCGCUAACACUUCCCAUUAUCCCAGGUUCCCCUAACACCAGCUAGAAUCACUAAGCGCUAACACUUCCCAUUAUCCCAGGUUCCCCUAACACAAGCUAGAGAUACUGAGCGCUAACACUUCCCAUUAUCCCAGGUUCCCCUAACACCAGCUAGAAUCACUGAGCGCUAACACUUCCCAUUAUCCCAGGUUCCGUUAACACCAGCUAGAAUCACUGAGCGCUAACACUUCCCAUUAUCCCAGGUUCCUAUAACACCAGCUAGAAUCACUGAGCGCUAACACUUCCCAUUAUCCCAGGUUCCCCUAACACCAGCUAGAAUCACUGAGCGCUAACACUUCCCAUUAUCCCAGGUUCCCCUAACACCAGCUAGAAUCACUGGGCGCUAACAAUUCCCAUUAUCCCAGGUUCCCCUAACACCAGCUAGAAUCACUGGGCGCUAACACUUCCCAUUAUCCCAGGUUCCCCUAACACCAGCUAGAAUCACUGGGCGCUAACAAUUCCCAUUAUCCCAGGUUCCCCUAACACCAGCUAGAAUCACUGAGCGCUAACACUUCCCAUUAUCCCAGGUUCCUCUAACACCAGCUAGAAUCACUGAGCGCUAACACUUCCCAUUAUCCCAGGUUCCUAUAACACCAGCUAGAAUUACUGGGCGCUAACACUUCCCAUUAUCCCAGGUUCCCCUAACACCAGCUAGAAUCACUGAGCGCUAACACUUCCCAUUAUCCCAGGUUCCCCUAACACCAGCUAGAAUCACUGAGCGCUAACACUUCCCAUUAUCCCAGGUUCCCCUAACACCAGCUAGAAUCACUGAGCGCUAACACUUCCCAUUAUCCCAGGUUCCUAUAACACCAGCUAGAAUCACUGGGCGCUAACACUUCCCAUUAUCCCAGGUUCCUAUAACACCAGCUAGAAUCACUGGGCGCUAACACUUCCCAUUAUCCCAGGUUCCCCUAACACCAGCUAGAAUCACUGAGCGCUAACACUUCCCAUUAUCCCAGGUUCCGUUAACCCCAGCUAGAAUCACUAAGCGCUAACAAUUCCCAUUAUCCCAGGUUCCCCUAACACCAGCUAGAAUCACUGAGCGCUAACACUUCCCAUUAUCCCAGGUUCCCCUAACACCAGCUAGAAUCACUGAGCGCUAACACUUCCCAUUAUCCCAGGUUCCCCUAACACCAGCUAGAAUCACUGAGCGCUAACACUUCCCAUUAUCCCAGGUUCCUAUAACACCAGCUAGAAUCACUGGGCGCUAACACUUCCCAUUAUCCCAGGUUCCUAUAACACCAGCUAGAAUCACUGGGCGCUAACACUUCCCAUUAUCCCAGGUUCCCCUAACACCAGCUAGAAUCACUGAGCGCUAACACUUCCCAUUAUCCCAGGUUCCGUUAACCCCAGCUAGAAUCACUAAGCGCUAACACUUCCCAUUAUCCCAGGUUCCCCUAACACAAGCUAGAGAUACUGAGCGCUAACACUUCCCAUUAUCCCAGGUUCCUAUAACACCAGCUAGAAUCACUGGGCGCUAACACUUCCCAUUAUCCCAGGUUCCUAUAACACCAGCUAGAAUCACUGGGCGCUAACACUUCCCAUUAUCCCAGGUUCCCCUAACACCAGCUAGAAUCACUGAGCGCUAACACUUCCCAUUAUCCCAGGUUCCGUUAACACCAGCUAGAAUCACUAAGCGCUAACACUUCCCAUUAUCCCAGGUUCCCCUAACACAAGCUAGAGAUACUGAGCGCUAACACUUCCCAUUAUCCCAGGUUCCCCUAACACCAGCUAGAAUCACUGAGCGCUAACACUUCCCAUUAUCCCAGGUUCCCCUAACACCAGCCAGAAUCACUGAGCGCUAACAUUUCCCAUUAUCCCAGGUUCCCCUAACACCAGCUAGAAUCACUGGGCGCUAACACUUCCCAUUAUCCCAGGUUCCCCUAACACCAGCUAGAAUCACUAAGCGCUAACACUUCCCAUUAUCCCAGGUUCCUAUAACACCAGCUAGAAUCACUGAGCCCUAACACUUCCCAUUAUCCCAGGUUCCUCUAACACCAGCUAGAAUUACUGGGCGCUAACAAUUCCCAUUCUCCCAGGUUCCCCUAACACCAGCUAGAAUCACUGAGCGCUAACACUUCCCAUUAUCCCAGGUUCCGUUAACACCAGCUAGAAUCACUAAGCGCUAACACUUCCCAUUAUCCCAGGUUCCCCUAACACAAGCUAGAGAUACUGAGCGCUAACACUUCCCAUUAUCCCAGGUUCCCCUAACACCAGCUAGAAUCACUGAGCGCUAACACUUCCCAUUAUCCCAGGUUCCGUUAACACCAGCUAGAAUCACUGAGCGCUAACACUUCCCAUUAUCCCAGGUUCCUAUAACACCAGCUAGAAUCACUGAGCGCUAACACUUCCCAUUAUCCCAGGUUCCCCUAACACCAGCUAGAAUCACUGGGCGCUAACAAUUCCCAUUAUCCCAGGUUCCCCUAACACCAGCUAGAAUCACUGGGCGCUAACACUUCCCAUUAUCCCAGGUUCCCCUAACACCAGCUAGAAUCACUGGGCGCUAACAAUUCCCAUUAUCCCAGGUUCCCCUAACACCAGCUAGAAUCACUGAGCGCUAACACUUCCCAUUAUCCCAGGUUCCUCUAACACCAGCUAGAAUCACUGAGCGCUAACACUUCCCAUUAUCCCAGGUUCCUAUAACACCAGCUAGAAUUACUGAGCGCUAACACUUCCCAUUAUCCCAGGUUCCCCUAACACCAGCUAGAAUCACUGAGCGCUAACACUUCCCAUUAUCCCAGGUUCCCCUAACACCAGCUAGAAUCACUGAGCGCUAACACUUCCCAUUAUCCCAGGUUCCCCUAACACCAGCUAGAAUCACUGAGCGCUAACACUUCCCAUUAUCCCAGGUUCCUAUAACACCAGCUAGAAUCACUGGGCGCUAACACUUCCCAUUAUCCCAGGUUCCUAUAACACCAGCUAGAAUCACUGGGCGCUAACACUUCCCAUUAUCCCAGGUUCCCCUAACACCAGCUAGAAUCACUGAGCGCUAACACUUCCCAUUAUCCCAGGUUCCGUUAACCCCAGCUAGAAUCACUAAGCGCUAACACUUCCCAUUAUCCCAGGUUCCCCUAACACCAGCUAGAAUCACUGAGCGCUAACACUUCCCAUUAUCCCAGGUUCCCCUAACACCAGCUAGAAUCACUGAGCGCUAACACUUCCCAUUAUCCCAGGUUCCCCUAACACCAGCUAGAAUCACUGAGCGCUAACACUUCCCAUUAUCCCAGGUUCCUAUAACACCAGCUAGAAUCACUGGGCGCUAACACUUCCCAUUAUCCCAGGUUCCUAUAACACCAGCUAGAAUCACUGGGCGCUAACACUUCCCAUUAUCCCAGGUUCCCCUAACACCAGCUAGAAUCACUGAGCGCUAACACUUCCCAUUAUCCCAGGUUCCGUUAACACCAGCUAGAAUCACUAAGCGCUAACACUUCCCAUUAUCCCAGGUUCCCCUAACACAAGCUAGAGAUACUGAGCGCUAACACUUCCCAUUAUCCCAGGUUCCCCUAACACCAGCUAGAAUCACUGAGCGCUAACACUUCCCAUUAUCCCAGGUUCCGUUAACACCAGCUAGAAUCACUGAGCGCUAACACUUCCCAUUAUCCCAGGUUCCUAUAACACCAGCUAGAAUCACUGAGCGCUAACACUUCCCAUUAUCCCAGGUUCCCCUAACACCAGCUAGAAUCACUGAGCGCUAACACUUCCCAUUAUCCCAGGUUCCCCUAACACCAGCUAGAAUCACUGGGCGCUAACAAUUCCCAUUAUCCCAGGUUCCCCUAACACCAGCUAGAAUCACUGGGCGCUAACACUUCCCAUUAUCCCAGGUUCCCCUAACACCAGCUAGAAUCACUGGGCGCUAACAAUUCCCAUUAUCCCAGGUUCCCCUAACACCAGCUAGAAUCACUGAGCGCUAACACUUCCCAUUAUCCCAGGUUCCUCUAACACCAGCUAGAAUCACUGAGCGCUAACACUUCCCAUUAUCCCAGGUUCCUAUAACACCAGCUAGAAUUACUGGGCGCUAACACUUCCCAUUAUCCCAGGUUCCCCUAACACCAGCUAGAAUCACUGAGCGCUAACACUUCCCAUUAUCCCAGGUUCCCCUAACACCAGCUAGAAUCACUGAGCGCUAACACUUCCCAUUAUCCCAGGUUCCCCUAACACCAGCUAGAAUCACUGAGCGCUAACACUUCCCAUUAUCCCAGGUUCCUAUAACACCAGCUAGAAUCACUGGGCGCUAACACUUCCCAUUAUCCCAGGUUCCUAUAACACCAGCUAGAAUCACUGGGCGCUAACACUUCCCAUUAUCCCAGGUUCCCCUAACACCAGCUAGAAUCACUGAGCGCUAACACUUCCCAUUAUCCCAGGUUCCCCUAACACCAGCUAGAAUCACUGAGCGCUAACACUUCCCAUUAUCCCAGGUUCCCCUAACACCAGCUAGAAUCACUGAGCGCUAACACUUCCCAUUAUCCCAGGUUCCUAUAACACCAGCUAGAAUCACUGGGCGCUAACACUUCCCAUUAUCCCAGGUUCCUAUAACACCAGCUAGAAUUACUGGGCGCUAACACUUCCCAUUAUCCCAGGUUCCCCUAACACCAGCUAGAAUCACUGAGCGCUAACACUUCCCAUUAUCUCAGGUUCCCCUAACACCAGCUAGAAUCACUGGGCAUUAACACCCUUCCAUUAUCUCAGGUUCCCCUAACACCAGCUAGAAUCACUGGGCGCUAACACUUCCCAUUAUCUCAGGUUCCCCUAACACCAGCUAGAAUCACUGGGCGCUAACACUUCCCAUUAUCCCAGGUUCCUAUAACACCAGCUAGAAUCACUGAGCGCUAACACUUCCCAUUAUCCCAGGUUCCUAUAACACCAGCUAGAAUCACUGGGCGCUAACACUUCCCAUUAUCCCAGGUUCCACUAACACCAGCUAGAAUCACUGGGCGCUAACACUUCCCAUUAUCCCAGGUUCCCCUAACACCAGCUAGAAUCACUGAGCGCUAACACUUCCCAUUAUCCCAGGUUCCCCUAACACAAGCUAGAGAUACUGAGCGCUAACACUUCCCAUUAUCUCAGGUUCCCCUAACACCAGCUAGAAUCACUGGGCGCUAACACUUCCCAUUAUCCCAGGUUCCUAUAACACCAGCUAGAAUCACUGAGCGCUAACACUUCCCAUUAUCCCAGGUUCCUAUAACACCAGCUAGAAUCACUGGGCGCUAACACUUCCCAUUAUCCCAGGUUCCCCUAACACAAGCUAGAAUCACUGAGCGCUAACACUUCCCAUUAUCCCAGGUUCCCCUAACACCAGCUAGAAUCACUGAGCGCUAACACUUCCCAUUAUCCCAGGUUCCCCUAACACAAGCUAGAGAUACUGAGCGCUAACACUUCCCAUUAUCCCAGGUUCCCCUAACACCAGCUAGAAUCACUGAGCGCUAACACUUCCCAUUAUCAGUGGCGACUCUAGGAACAAUAUAUAGGGGGGGCACAUAAGAUACCACAGUCAAAACUGGGGGGGCACUAAUAAUUUUCACCACUAAAUCAUACCACUGAAAAAAACUAUAUAUAUAUGUAAAAUAGGAUUCCAAAAUACCAGAGUAAUGUGGUAUGCAAUGAUAUCUUUUAUUGUACUAACCUAAUACUUAAAAGACAAGCUGUCAAGAGAUUUUCUUUCUUCCUCAUGUAUUGCUUCAGACCUGAGAAAGAGAGGAAAACUCUCAAAAGCUUUUCUUUAUAGUUUAAAGCAAUUUCAGCAAACACCAGACCUCUGUAAAUAAUCCCCUAUAUUAAAUAUAUCACUAAUGAAGACCAAUGAACAGACAGACCCUGAGUGUUUGUUGAUGUGUGUGUGUAACUAAUACUAAGUACCAUGUACUAAUUUUACACAGCCAGCCACUUCCUACUUCAAAAUGAAAAUUAGACACACUCAGGCACACAAAUAGACACAUUCAUACACACACACACACACACACACACACACAAGCACACUCAAAUACACACAUUUAGACAGGCACAUUCAGAGACACAUACAGGUACACUCAAAGACACAUAGACAGGCACAAUCAAAGACACACUCAGACAAAUACACACUCAGGGACACCCAUUCAGGCACACUCAAAAACACACACUCAGACACACAAACAGCCAACCUUAGAUUUAGAUUCAAGCCAAUGAAACAUAGCUUGCCUCCGAUCAGAAAUGCAGUAGUGAUUGAUAAAUAUACAAUAAAAUAGAAGAUUUAACUUAUUGUAAACUAGAGCAGUCUUACAUAAUGCCAUAAUACAUCUAAUACCUAAAAAUAUAAUCCCACAAUCAUUAAUAGAACAAGACUAUGGCCUCCAAUCCAAACUAAAACAUCUAUCCAAUAUACAUCAUGUGCAAAUAAAAUGCACCAAGCUACAAAUACAGUUACCACAAUCUGGUGCAUAAUUCUCAGCAAUAUACAUUUAUCAUGUGAAAAUAAAGUGCAUACCCUGAUUAAACUAAACACAUCCACCAUACGCGCAGUAUACAAGCUGCAAACGCAUUGACCAUUAGCAUGAAGUGCAAAUUGUGAGCACAUAGGCCAUGCAAACCAAGUGUGCGUUUUACCAAGUGUUAUUUAGUACACAGCACAAAAUAAACCUCUGAGUGGAGGAUCUCUCAAUGAUUACAUAGUCUGGUUAUUAAAUAUAUCCCAAAGCAAUCCAUAUUGCAAUUUCAAGUGUCCAUAUUCACCCUUAGUUAGAUAGACAGUUACCUAUGAACUAGGGAUGCACAAUUUUUUAAUGACCGAGUAUGAGUGCCAAUCCUUUUUUUUUUUUUUAGGUACUUGCUGAUACCAAUACUUUUUUUUGUAAUGUCAUGUGUCAGAGAGUAGGGGACCUAGCAAGCCAAUGUAUUUUUACAUUGGCUUGCUAUUCAGAUAAGGUAGUGAUUAUGGCAUGUAGUCAUUCUCACUACCUGAUCUGUGGCUAUUACUUUAAUACCUGUAAUUGUCCAGUUA